rnacentral:lncRNA from 1 species
AGUUGAGAUUGAAAUUAAAUACUAUAUAUUAAGAAAACUUUAAAUACUAUUUCUAUAGUUUCGCACUUUUCUAUUUAAGUACCUAAUAGUUUAAAAUGUAUCAAUUUAGUAUCUCAUGAUUUUAUUUUAUUUUUUUUAUUAUCCGCUUUACUAAUUAUUUUUUCGUUAAAUCAAUGACAAAGAUAAAACUGAAAGUAUAAAAGUGAAUAUUCGAUAAAUCUACGUGGGUAUCUGAAGUUUUUUUAAAAAAUUGAAACUAUUUGGUUGCUUUCACAUGCU